UACGAAGGGGGCUAGCGUUGCUCGGAAUCACUGGGCGUAAAGGGUGCGUAGGCGGGUUCUUAAGUCAGGGGUGAAAUCCUGGAGCUCAACUCCAGAACUGCCUUUGAUACUGAGAGUCUUGAGUUCGGGAGAGGUGAGUGGAACUGCGAGUGUAGAGGUGAAAUUCGUAGAUAUUCGCAAGAACACCAGUGGCGAAGGCGGCUCACUGGCCCGAUACUGACGCUGAGGCACGAAAGCGUGGGGAGCAAACAGG
rnacentral:rRNA from 1 species